rnacentral:snoRNA from 1 species
AAGCCAUGGUGUGGGCAUUGAGCUUGCUUCAAUGAAUGCUUCCAAGUUCUUCUGUUGAAAGCUGGAAAUCUCAUUUCUCAGCUU